rnacentral:rRNA from 1 species
AGUGAACGCUGGCGGUAGGCCUAACACAUGCAAGUCGAACGGCAGCACAGUAAGAGCUUGCUCUUACGGGUGGCGAGUGGCGGACGGGUGAGGAAUACAUCGGAAUCUACUUUUUCGUGGGGGAUAACGUAGGGAAACUUACGCUAAUACCGCAUACGACCUACGGGUGAAAGCAGGGGAUCUUCGGACCUUGCGCGAUUGAAUGAGCCGAUGUCGGAUUAGCUAGUUGGCGGGGUAAAGGCCCACCAGGGCGACGAUCCGUAGCUGGUCUGAGAGGAUGAUCAGCCACACUGGAACUGAGACACGGUACAGACUCCUACGGGAGGCAGCAGUGGGGAAUAUUGGACAAUGGGCGCAAGCCUGAUCCAGCCAUACCGCGUGGGUGAAGAAGGCCUUCGGGUUGUAAAGCCCUUUUGUUGGGAAAGAAAAGCAGCAGGUUAAUACCCCGCUGUUCUGACGGUACCCAAAGAAUAAGCACCGGCUAACUUCGUG